GGCCCCAUCGUCUAGCGGUCUAGGACACCGGCCUCUCACGCCGGGAACAGGGGUUCGAGUCCCCUUGGGGUCACCA
rnacentral:tRNA from 3 species